rnacentral:rRNA from 1 species
UAGGUGGCGAGCGUUGUCCGGAAUUACUGGGUGUAAAGGGAGCGUAGGCGAGGACACAAGUUGAAUGUAUAAACUAUUGGCUCAACUGAUAGAAGCGUUCAAAACUGUGUUUCUUGAGUGAAGUAGAGGCAGGCGGAAUUCCUAGUGUAGCGGUGAAAUGCGUAGAUAUUAGGAGGAACACCAGUGGCGAAGGCGGCCUGCUGGGCUUUAACUGACGCUGAGGCUCGAAAGCGUGGGUAGCAAA